GGUAAUUUUUUUAAAAAUUAUUAUUUUAAAACAAUGUAUUGCUUACUUUAUAAAAAAACUAAAAAUACAGUAAAACCAAAAUUUAAAAACCAAAAACCAAAACCAAAAGCUGAAAAUCAAAAACCAAAAUCUAAAAAUUAAAAACUAAAAACUAAAAUCUAAAACCAAAAUCUAAAAACCAAAAACUAAAACCAGAAACUAAUGGAAACAAACAUCACCAUAGUAUAAUUACGGUUCACAUAUUAGGUAAAAUAAAUGUGAUUUUUUAGAAUAAAUAAUGCAGAAUAAAAAUAUAUUACAGAAUAAUAUUUAAUUUGUGAAAUUUAUUUAAUGGUACAAAAUUAAUAGUUGAUUUAUAAAAAUAAACUAAUAAUAUAGAGGCAUCAAAUAAUCAUGCAUAUUUCCAAUCCGGAUAAGUUUUAGUUUGGUUUUUAGAUUUGUGGUUUGAUUCAGAUAGUAGACCUAGAAAUUGUUUAAUAAUCAGAAAAUUCAUAUUUAAUUUGAUUCCGGCUCAAUAUUUUUUUUAAUAAUUUUGAUUAGUUAAUGUAACUCAUGUAAAAAUAGAAAGUAAAAACUUAGUAUUAAAAAAUCAGGUAUGAAGAUACUAAUAUGUAUUAAAAAUUGUAUAAAAUAAAUUCUCUAAUUUUAUAUUUAGCUAAAUACAAAGUGUAUAUUUGAAACACAUUUUAUGUAAUGUAUAUUUAUUAAUUAAUUCAUGAAUUAGAUAUUAUUUUUUAUGACAAAAAGAUAUUAUUUUAUACUCUAACAUUAUAUAAUGUUUAUCCGAAUGACAUUCACUAUUUCCCUUGCUAUUAUAAUCUCCAUAUAUUUUCUUUGCACUAUAUUUGAACUAUGUCUGACAUUCACCUUCCGCAUGCCUUACUAAUUCUAGGGGAUCUUUUGUAAUUCUUUUAAAUAAUUUAUCAAUUAUGUUUCUAUCCAACUUUGGGUCUUCUCUGCCUUUAUAGAUAUUCUCAAUUUAGUGUAAACACUGGAUUUUGUAAAAAUCGAUGGGCAGGAUGGUGUAGAUGGGAUUGUCCAAGUAUGCAAAGCUAGGAGACACUCAAAACUAGCAUGGUUUAUUGAUUCAUCUACCUUCCAUCAUCGGAACAAUGAUUAUUACAUCGCAUACGAUGACGUGUCAUAUUUUUUGUUACGGCUAAAUGAUGUUACGAUCUUCCACAUAAGAUGGUGUAUCUUAUGAAGAACACUGAUCUUUCAAGCAAAGGCUUGAAGCUUCGUGAAGCUAGGCUCUGUUACCAUUACUUCAAAUUCAGAGUUAUCAUUACUUCAAAUUCAGUAACUAGGAUAUUCCUAGCUAGCCGCCAAAUAUCAUGAUAUUAUAGUAUAUUACCAAGUCUUUGUAUAACUCCAACAUAACUUAUUCCCUCAAGCGAAUUAGCUUCCCACUUGACUCUUAAUCAGUGGUAUAUCCUCUGAUACGACAAUGCAUGUUCUCCAAAAUCUCCAUAUCUCCCUCUCCAGGCCACCAUGAAUGAAGGCACCAUCGUCAUUUAUUGAUGAAUUACUGGAACACAUUGUUUAGCAUGCCUUGCUGGAACUUUCAGAAUCCAUGGAUCUUCUUGGCUCUAAUCUCAAAACUAUAAUUACCUUCUAUCUGAUACAUAAUGCCAGUAAUUGUUAUAUUUCCUGUAAACUUCUCCAAACGUAAGAAAGACUAUCAAUAGCACCUGAUCGCAAAGGUGAACUAAGUCUGUAAAAUUUUCUUUGCAGUACCCUUGUAAGAAGAGAAUCUGGAAAUUCUAUCGGACGCCAGUAUUGCUCCAAUAAUUUUAUAUUAAAAUAAUUAAUUACACAGAAACCAAGAUCACUUUCCUGUUUUGAAUUAUGAAUGUUUUUUCCCUUUUACCCAAUGAAUCUCCUCUUAAAUCAAUUAGAGAUCCACGAGAAUCGAGCAAUAGCACUCGUUAGCUUUUCGCUAGUAGAAAGCUGGACAUAACAUAGGUUGGAAGGGAUAAUGAGAUAGAUGUUAUCAGAAUUACCUUCCCUCCUCUUGAUAACCAUGUGCAUACCAUCCAUUAACUCUAUGUUGUAGUCUAUCUUUUAGAAACGCAAAGAAUUUACAGUUAGACCCACUAAUAUCCUCUCGAAUUCCCAAGUAAGACCCCAUCCCGCCUUCAUUAUCAAUUUUAAAAGAGGUUUUGAUUGUUUUCUUUACAUAAUCAGAUACUCUCUUACUAAAGCGUAUAUAAGAAUUUUCAAAAUUAAUACACUGGUCCAAUGCCUUUCGAUAAAUCUAAACUGCUUUCAUUACUUCAUCAUUCAUGAGGCUCUGUCUUACAAAAUAAAAAGCUAUCAUCAGCACAAAUAAGGUGUGACGUCAGAGGGAUAACACGUGACACGUGAAUCCCAUUAUCUUCCCUUAAAUAUCUUCAUGAUUAAGAAUGCUAACGAUCGCUUUUGUGCAUAAAAUAAACAUGAAAGGAGACAAAGGAUCUUCUUGACGCAAUGCCCUCUUUGGUGGAAUGUUACCUCUGGGUUGGCCAUUCUUCAGAACAUGAUACUUGACACAUGUUAUACAUCGCAUUAUCAAGUUUAUCCAUGUUGCCAAGAAUCCCAUAUUUUCAUAACAACAGUAAUGAAAUCUUAUUCCCACUGAUCACAUGCUUUAUUCAUAUUUGUUUUGAUUGCCAUUAUCUUAUGUCUUCCAUCUCAAUUUGAUAUAAGCACAUGAAAUAUCUCCUGAUCAAUAAUAAUAUCACUUGUGAUAUGCUUUCAAGCAACAAAAGCUGACUGGGUUCUGAGAUACGUUUCGAUAAAAAAAUUGUUUAAUCUCGGCAUAAUACUUUUGAGAUUAUCCUGUUACUCACAGUGCACAUAAUUAUCAUACAAAAUUAUGCCAUCUCAAUAGGCUAAUCUUUUUUGGAAUGAAGCAAAGGUUUGCGCCAUUCAAUUCCUGAGCCAUAACCCCAUCAAACAGAAAUUCAUUAACCAUACAAGUUAGAUCUCCUGUCACAAUAUGCCAUAACUUCUGAUAAAGCAAUGAUGUCAUUCCAUAUGGGCCAAGAGCUUUCUCCGUAUGAAUUGCAUAAUUCCAUUUCGUAACAAGGAAAGUAAGAUCCUCGUUGAUUGAAUAUGUGAUAGUCAUAUUAGCAUUUGUUAACUCUUAUUUUAUCUCUUUCGAGUUUAAUGUCUCAAAUUAUUUCUGAAAUAACUAGUAUCAAUGGAUACUAAUUCCUCAUCAUCCUCCGUCAUAUUUAUGGAUCCAUCAUUUAGUCUCAUAAUAUGAUUCAUUGCACUUCUUUGUUUUUUUAAUUCAUGGAAAAACUUCAAGUUUCUAUCCCCUUUGUUAAGUUAAAGUACUCUACUCUUCUACCUUCAGAACAUUUUUUCUCUUUAAUAGCAUCAAAUUGUUCUUUUAAGACAAGUGCUAACUACUCAUAAGACACUUCAUCAUUCAAAUACAUUUCUCUAACUAUUUUUAGUUUCAUUUAUUUUCUUGUCUGAGUUUAAAUUAUUUUGUCUUCUUCACUGACUCAAGGUUCUGCGGCAAUUCGAUAUAUGGACCAUUAAAUAUAUAUCAUUCGGAAGUUCAGAACAUCAGCAACUCCACUCUAUUUUUUAUUUAUAAAUAUAGUUUGGAGUAAAAAUGCUUCAGUCUAUCUAUUUUUACUCUAUAAUAGAGUAUAAAAUGGGUCUAUUCUAUCAAUAAAGUAAUACACCUUUUUAUCACUUCAUUUUCUACUAUAAAAUGGAAUAUCAAUAAAGUAUAACCAAACUUGAAGAAAAUAUUCAGAGUACACCAUUAGAGAUGGUUUCAGAUAAGAUCACUUACAUAAACUUUGUGGUUUGAUAUAUUCAUUUUACAUUCCUUUUACUGUAACACAAUUUUUCUGAUUAAGGAUAUUAAUUUGGUCGAACAUAAUCAUUUUGUUUGAAAUUUUUUGUUAUUCUGUGAAAAACCUUCAAAACCUAGAAUUAACAUAUACGUUUUUGAUUAAUUUUUGCAUAUGAAUCUAUUAGUUUUUUCUUUCUUGAAUUAUUAAUCUUACAAUUUACAUAUAUGUUUUAUUUGCGUCUGGAGGAUAAAAAUAGUUCUAAUUAAAUGGAUUUCAAAAUUUUCUGUUUUUUUCCCUUAUAAUUUGCAUGGGAAUAUUUUAUGGGACCGUGAUCAUCUGGAGUAACUAAUGUUAUUUAUUAAAUAAUUGGUAUGGGCUCAAGGCGAUAAAAUUUUGUAUGUUCUUCAUCCAUUUACUUUUUAACUUAUUUUGAGGUCUAAGAUAAUAUGUACACUGAGAUAGAGACUCCCCCAUCCGGCCGUCCCUUUCUUUCAUUUAGUACCUGGAAUCUCUGCUCCACCCAUUCUCUCGUAUUUUCUCAUCUUUUCAAUAUAUAUUUCUGAUCAAGAUAUAGUGGAAAACAUUAUAGUAUGGUUCAGAUAAGCAAUAAAUGAUAAAAGAGAUAAAAGAGUAUAGUAGGAACGUAGGAUUCACUACUGACACUAAAGAUACACAUUAUAGAAUUGAUAGAGAAAGUAAACACAUAAAGUUAUAAACCGAUAAAAUUGAGCAGUAUGGAAUACUAAUAUUACAUAAACUUCAGAAAUUACUCUAUUUUAUAAUCACAAAAUUACAUACAGUUUUCAAAUACUCUUCAUCAGUGCUAUGGAAUUAAGAAUUUUUGGGAAUUCUUUUCCUUUUUGAAGUACUGAGAUUAUUUACUAUGCGUAUAAAUAUAGACAAAUACAAGACAAUAUAUAUAUCGAGCUAAAUAACUCUGGCGAUGUUGGAAAUAAAUUACACAUUUGUUUGGAGUUUCGUAAGUGAAUUUUAUAUAUUUAAUGUGAUUUUCCUCGAUAGAACUAAUUAUAUGCAUAAUUACAAAAUCAUUCUCUGAUUUAGCAACCACAUGCUAGCUAAGUUAAAGACACUUGGAAGGUAAUUAAUACGAUAACCAUGGAAGCUAAUUUUGCAAUCGUUGUCUCCCUUAGCAUUCCAUAUUUUGUUUCAUUGACGUGUGCUAAUUGAAAGAGCAAAAAUCACAGAAGAACUAACCACUCUUAAUAAGAUUAUAGUCUGGUGUAUGCAUUUACUUAUAAUAAGGAAGGUCCCAGAAGUUUUUGUAAUACAUAUAUAUAACAUAAUUAGAUUAGGUGAAGGUUAAGGAAACCUAAAUUUUGGUGUCAUUCUUGAAGUAAUAAAUAGAAAAAGAAGAUACUAAUAUAAGUUUGACCCAGAAAAAAAAUACAACUAUAAGUUUGUAAUGUGUGUUCUAUAUCUUAUAAGACCAUUACACUACCAAAAACCAGACACAUACACACGUUGAUCGUUCUAGCUCCUCGGACCUCUAACUUAUUUAUUUAUUUAUAAAGUUAAUUUUUUUUAAUGAUUUGUUCAAUUCAGUAAUGAAUGCUCCUCACCUAUGUUAGUCAAUAUGUAAUGUUUCGUGGCCUUAUGCACAUGCAGUUGUGCCGUCUAUGUGAGAAGAGAGACAGAAAGACGCAACAAGUACACUGUACUGUGAUCAUAUACCAUCAUUGGUUUCAAAUUUAUUAGAAAACCAUUACAUUUACAAAAAUAUACCUUUAUUAAGAAAAAUGAUUGUUAACUACCAGAAAAAUAAACUAGCAUAUGGUCAUAUAUCUAAACAAGUAAUAUUUCUUUCUUUUUGUCAAAAACAAGUAAUAUAUUUAAACAAUAUAAAUCACAUGACAACAUUCAUUAAUACGUUAAUACCGUAAACAUAAAUUUAAUAUCAGAAAAUAUGUUGGAUUUGAAAUUUGACAUCAUCCGAUGAUUUUUUUUGAAAAAUGGAUAAUAACACGUAACCAAAUGAUCAAAAAUAAAGUAAAACACAUAGAUUAAACAUUUAAAAUAAAAUGUUUAAGAACAUGAGAUAACGUAUUAAAACGUGUUAAAAUAUAUUAAGCAACAUCGGCGGUUCAGGUUUAGGCACUCUCACGAAUCCAUUCGAAUCCGAUAUCUUUCCCACUCAAUCGCUGUUUACGAAGAUUUCUCCGGAAUUGAAAGAUCAUCAAUUUGCAUAGAUUUUAUUAUACAUAUGAAAAUGAAGAAACAAUAAAGGUUUUAGUAAUUUGGACAUAGAUCCUAGAGAUAUUUUCAAAUUGGCAAAAUCAAAGUCUUUACUUUGGGCUGAGACACAUAUCUCAAUAACACAAUGAAUCGAGCAAACUCGAUUACCGAUACAGCGAUAGCACCGAAUAUCCCAGGUCGAUGGUGUUUUAUGGAUGAAUCAUAGAAAAAUCAGAAUUUACAUUCGGAAAAUGAUGGUAUAGUACACUAGAAGGUUUUGAUGGUUUAAUGGGAGCGAAGAAUACAAGAGCAAGUCAGCCGCCACUUCAUUCAUAGAUAAAUGUGCUUAUUUGGGCAAUGGAGUUUAUGAAGAAUUUAAAACAGUUUUCUAUUAUAUUUGUAACGGAUUGUUCUCAGUUGAUGAAAAUUGUUUCGGAACCAGAAGAAUGACCAGCUUUUGCAAGUUACUUAGAAGACAUAUAAAAGUUUUGAAAAGAAGUUUUAACAGCUUAGAGCUCAUUCAUAUAUCGCGAACGCAGAAUUCAAAGACGGACAGUAUUGCACGCAGUGCAAGAAAAUAGUCGUCUUUUGUUGUCCAUAUGGAUAUAUAGCUACGAGUUUGGUUUGCAGAAUCAUAUGUUAUGUUGCUGACAAAAAAAAUAUUAAGCAACAUUGGAAAUUACCGGUUUAUAAUUCAAUACACUUUUAUAGCUAUAAAACUAUAUUGGUGUUUUUAUCAACAUAACACAUAAUAUUUCAUGAAUGUUGUCAUAUUCAUGUGGUUCAUAUAGUUCGUGUAGUUUUUAAAAAUUAUUUUCGAGACUACCAUCAUUUGGUUAAAAAUUAUAUAAGUUGUACUUUAUUAUAAAAUAUGUUUAAAUUUUAAAAUUACUACACAAUAUAUGGAUUUACAAAAAAAUACUGAAAACAACUUCUAAGCCUUUAAAUCAUAUAUUUUAAUCCAGAAAGAAUAAAUAUCAAACUUUUUCUGAUCAAACCAAUAGUUACAUGAUUAAUUAAUAAUUAAAACAUUGAUAACAAAGAUUAACGUUAGAAGAAGAAGAAAAUUCAAAACAAUUUUUUUUAUUGGCCAAACCAUUCUAGACAACUGUUUAAUUGUCCGCUAAAACCUUUCGUUAACACAUUGCUCACUACUACACUUAAUUCUUUGAAUGAAGAGGAAAUAUAUACAAUUUUUUAUGUUUAGUUUCUAUAAGCAUUGCCAUCUCUUACAUACUCUUAGAGUAUAUAAAAUAUAUAUAUAUAUAUAUAUUUAUAUUUAUAUUUAUUUAUUUAUAUAAAUGUAAUUUAAUUAAAUUUCAGUUUAAAAAUAAAACUUUAGCCAAUCUAUGAGAAACAAGUGUUUUAUGGAGUUUUAAUGAAUUUUUCAAAAACUAUCGUUUGAGAUUUCAUCUUACUUUUUCAUUAUUUUCUUAUUUUGUAUGAAACAUUUUAUGAAAACUUCUCAAUGGAGAUUUUUUAUAAACUGAUUUAACCCAACUUCGAGGUGGGAUCUAUAUUUUUCCAAGAACCAUCUAAUUUACAAGUAAGGUAUUUGGUUACCUCUUUCCAUAUCACCAUUCCCACAUAUGGUUGGAAUUUAGCUGUAUUAGUAUAUGAUUGUCAAUUCAAAUAAAAGAAAAGAGAAAAUAAAAUUAAUUUACAUUUGAAUGAAGAGAGGUCCUAUUGUGGACAAGAAGUUGGUCAAGUGUAAGAAAGGCAGAAAGAAAUUGAAGCUUUGUUGCUGAUGGUUAAAACUUCUAAAGCAUCACGUGUAAGACUUUCUUGUCUUCGUUCUCUUGUAGCUAUAUUCACUGAGACGGCCACACAACCAUGUUUUAAACUUGGAGUUGUUUUUUGCUUUAUUUCAAUCAAUAUGAAGAAUUCACAAGAUACUAAGAAUCUGAGAAAAUUUUGUAUCUCUUAAUUCAAACAAGGAAAAGAAAACAUAGAAAAUAUAAAUAUAUUUGGCUUAUUAAUGUCAAAAGCGAUAGCGAUUUAUCAAAAACAGAUGGAGAACAUCCACUUUCCGUAAUUUUCAAUAUAUGAAUUAGACAACUCUAAAUCAAAAAGUUGGUCCACGAUGCAUUUAUAGACUUAUUAUCGUAUGGAAGAAAUUUUUUUAUCAAUAUUUAUUAAUAAUUACUGUAAUAUCAUUUGUGCAUGACAGCAGGAACAAAAAUUAAGUAUUCGAAUCUGAGCAGUACGCAUCAAAGUCAUGCGCGACACCAAUGGUGUCCACCUAUAGCGUUGGUGUCCACUUAUUGAUAUAUCGACACACACACAUUUUGGCAUACGUAUACAUAAAAUAUACAAAUGUUUGUACAUGUGUACGUUGCAUAUAUAUUGUGAGUACUUUUUUUUUGGCUAAAAAGAGAGUUUUCACCUCUUUGCCGAAAACCCAAACAUUGUAAAUAGUCUUUCCUACCGUGAGUUGAAUCCAAGUGGCAGAAGUUACAGCCGCAACCCCUUUACCACUAGGCCAACUCAAUAUUGUGAGUACUUGCUUUGCUAUACAUAUAUAGAUGACGAACUGUGACCCAUAGUGACUUUAACUCUUCGUCUGAUACUUUAUAAUUUCGUUUGAAAGGCUGAAGGAUGGCUUUAAAAAAUACCCUCGUGGGUUUUGAUAAGGUUAACCAUUAAUUACUCAGUCACAAUGUCUUUUACAAUGAUUAUCAAGCACUAUAAAAUAAACACCCAGAAUAUUAACAGAAUAAUUGUAUAGAUAUUUAUACUGAAUGAAAUGUAGCUGAAUAAAAUCUAUAAGAUUAUGAUUAUCAAGCCAUAAACUUUCGCAUCACCACAUUCUCGGCUUACAUGAUUGCAAAUCAAGAUUUGUAUAAUUUCAACGGGACCACCAAUAUUCUAGGGUUUAUACAUUAAAAAUGCGAAUACUUAUGUUGCAGGAUGGAUCAUGGUAAUGUGUUAAUACAACACAAAGACUACUUGUGGCCUGAUAGAGAGAAAGAGGUGGGGGAAAAUGAUGACAUAAGAAUGUGAAAUCAAUAGUUUUAUGAAAGGGACUAAAAAUGAUAGAGAAACGGAAAAGAGGUAACAAACAUAUUAGAGCAUCAGCAUUAGUGAACCCCUUGGAAGGGGUUCACAAAGCAUUUUUUUAUUAUUAUUUUUUUUCUGUUUGAUUUUUGUUUUAAAAAAAAAAAAAAAAAAAAAAUUUAUAACCGGACCAACCGCGGGCCGCCACGUGUCGUGGGGCCCGCGCUACAGUGAUGAUCCGGGUUCAGUGCAGUGAACUUCUAAGAGGGAGGUUCAUUGCUUUUGUUUAUUUUAAUAUUUUUUUUUUUUCGAAAACUGUGUGAACUCCCCAUGGAGUUCACUAAUGCAGAUGCUCUUAAAGCUCCUAUGGGUUGGAGGACAAUAUGACUGAGAUCUCUUAUUGUGGGGUUUUCUUUUUAGAUAGAGACAGUUGUAAUUGGAUCCAUCACUUUCACUUCUAUCUUACUUCUUACUUUUUUGUCUCCUUUUUUAUUAGAUUCUUUCUUUUCUUUUUUUCUCUUGUUCUCACUUCUUUUCAUUCUACCAUUUGCACCAAUGUACAAUCCUAUAUUGUAAUAGUAUUUUUUUUUAAUAAGAGGGUUUUCAAAACAAAACUAAAAUAUGGUACUUUAAGAAACCCCUAAAAUUUUUCAUGAUACUAAUUUCAGAUUUUAAAAACCAUACUAAAUAUAAUUUUGUAUAUUUAGUGUUCCAAUAAUGAUACUUUAGCUGUAUUAAACUACUAUGUAUAUACAUAAUGUUAUUUUGUUGUUAUUGCUAGAAAAAAAUAAUUUGAGUGGUAAUUGAAAACGAUUCGAAAAGUAAACAUAAAUGUAAAAAAACCAUUAAUUGUAGUAUAUGCACCUAUAAUAGUACUAAGGUGGCUAAUGCUUUGUCCUCCGCAAAGGGCCAAAUAAAGCUUCGUGAUAUAUACUUUGGUAAGCAUUUCUUCUCCCUAACAACCAACCAAAGACUUUGGGCUAAAGAUACUACCCUCGCAUAGUUAUCAACACUUUAUUAAAUUAGUAUUUUUCUUAAAUUUAGAGACCAAAAUGUCAUUUCAAAUGUCAAAAUAAUGGCACUUCAUUUACUUCGCUUAGCAAAAAGUAUUUAUUAAGUUUCAAUUUUCUUUACAGAAAGGAUGGCACAUGGGAGACAUGGUCACGGUGUAGGCAAUAUCUUCUUCUAUUCUAUUCUAUCUUCUCAUCAAAUCCAUCUCCAUCCAAAACAUGUUUAAAUCCAUGGAAUAAACCAAAUCCAUUAAAAUGUAUUAACACCAGCUAGUUUCCAUUUCACUUAAGUAAAAAUACUAGUUUUUUUUAAUUAACGAAAGGAUAUCCCGAAUCUAUGGAAGAGCUCAGAUUAAUUUUCAAAGAAAAAUACAGUUCACAUAUAAAUUUCUUUUUGGAUAUUCAAAUAGAUCACAGAAAAAAAAAGAAUCCAUAUCCGUGUAACCACAUGAUGGAAUAUAGUAAGGGUGCCUUUAAAUCUGAAUUACUUAGCAAUCCAAACCCCGCAUACCAUUAAACCACGAUUACUUUGUUCAAAAUGCUAGUUUUAUUUACUUGUUAAUGCAAUAAUUUUGCAGUAGAUUAAAAUCACUUUUAAAUUACUAUAGAUUUCAACGUAAAUUCAAUUUUAGACACACCAACUAUCCAAUAAAAAAUAGUAAUAAUAAAUAUGCGUAAUCGUGCUCGGCCAAAGUUUGACCAAAAAAAAGACACACCAACUAUCCAAAAAAAAAAUCAUCUAUGGACCAUAAUAACCAUAUUAUUAAAUAUUAAUUGAUGUAACAUCUAAACAUGCGUACAAGACCUAUAACUCAUCUGGUUUAGUGUUGUCGUGGAAUCGUCAUCUGGUUUAAAACUUACAUAAAAUUUCAUUAAAAAGAAAAGAAGGAAUCUUGUGAUACUGUAUACAAUAUAGAAAGCUAUUUUCUUCAACGAUAAGUUGAGCUACAAGUUACAUAUUUUUCUCAACCUUUUGUGGCAAGUUAUAUGGAUCAGAGUGAAUGAAAUAUAUCUGUCUUGAUUUUAAGACUUUUGGACCACUUCAACAUUUUGGAGUUUUGUAAUUCAUAACAAGAUGUUUUCUUUCUUAACUUAUAUAUACAUAUUUAUUUUACUGCUAGACUACUAAUGUGGUAAAGUGUUGUUUGUUUCUUAAAAAAACCAUAAAAUACAACUACUUUUCCACAUUUUACCUUCUGCGACAUCACAUAUAUCAGUCUUCUGUCUCUCAGUUCUAGUAUUUUUUAAAAGUGGAUUUUCAAAGAUUUAGCUUCGUGGAGUUAUGUACCACUCAAAUAUUAAACAACAAUAUAAGAAAUUUGUUUCAAUAUCCGUUAGUAGUAUAAUCAUCUUUUCUUGUAUAUAGAUCAGGAGUGUGAUUUGAGCUUAGAUUUUCUCCUUGGGCUUCAACCCAUUUGGUUUUGGAAUAUUUUAUGUUUUAUAAACACUCAAACGAUGAGAAACUAAUCAAUACAAUACUAAAAAAGGGAUAAUCUCAACUCUUAGCUAUGCCACGUCAUCAAAAAUAAUCCUCCAAUCAUAGCUCUUUAUUUUUGGGUUGGGCUUCAAAUCACAAUUGAAUGGGCUUUGUUUCACUUCCGGGUUAUGGGUCGAAUGUGUUUCGGUUUUGUCAUUGUUUUGGUUUUGUCUUUUAACUAAGUCGCGAGUCUGCGAGUUUCUUCUCCUCAUCCCCAAUUCACUUCGUCUUCUCACUUUCAAACCGUAGCUUCUAAGUUUUUUCAUCCUAUUCUUCACAAUCAAUUUCGCAAUCAAUCUCUUCUUAGCGAAGGAGAUGAGGAAGAGAAGCGCGAGAAAGAGGAGAGCCGAGGCAGGGCCACCACUGGUGCCCGAUCCGAGAGAGGAAAUUGGAGGCAAGGAGGUAGAUGUGGGGACGCUUGGUCUUGGAUUCGUCGGCGCCGGAUUCGCCGGGAUAAGAGAGAUCGGCGUCGGAGUGAGGACGGCGGAAGGAGAGCGCGCGAUCGAGCAUCGUCGUCGCGUUGGCCCGUAAACCCAUUAACGAGACCUAAUCAGAGAGCGCACCACCAAACCGUCACGAGGAUCUCUAUCUCCUUCUCUGUUGCGCAGGAGACGAUCUCCAUCUCUAUUCGUCCUUUCCGAACCUGAGAAACGUGAACGGAGAUGGUACCUUUGUCAUUAUCUCAACAUAAUCUCUGGCCACCGGAAUCUGUAUCUACGGUGUUUUGGGGUUACGCAACCGCCACAUCAAAACACGCCUGCGACCAUCUUCGCCGUCACCUCCGACUUGGCUUCCAUAUCCGCUCUUCCCUUCAGAUACUGCUGCAAGUCUAUGAUGAUGCACGAACGGAGUUCUCAAGAAGAGUCGUUGUAUUCAACAGGGCUAAGUUUCUUCACUCCAGAGAUGAUAUCAGAUCUUCGUUAUAUGUAUGUUUCUUUAGUGGAUGAGAGAGUAGGAUAGGUCCUAGAGGUGAGGAGGGGUCAUCAUCAAACCAUGAGACAUCCAAGAGAAACACAAGCAGUGGACGGAGGUGGACCAAUGUCCUCCUUGCCGUUAACGUUAUGUAAUGUGUUUAGUUCUUCACUCUGUUACAUGUAACAAUAAAUCAUGUCUUUUGGUUUGAGAUGUUGCAUUAGAUAAAUGCUUUAGGCUUAUGGGUUUCAUUCUUGUGUCAUGACAGAAUGUAUUUGCACAAGUUGCAUCCAAUGGUAGAGUGCUGACAUGGGGAGCCAAGGUAUCAUAUUCAGAGACUUGAUUAAAUACAAGAGGGAAACAGUUUGAUAUCUGAAUAUCUCUGUUCCAUUUCUCUUAAUUCUAUCUCCAAUGAAAUUUUUUGGUUCUUACGAUAAGCCAACUCAUCUAAUAGCUUUUACAGAUUAAACGUUGUUUGUUCUCUUCUUACUGCUUGCUCGAAACAGGUAUGUUAAUUAUUUUUUUUGGUCCUGUGGAAUUUCAGGGCUUUGUUUUUUUUUUAAUAAGUUACAAUGUUUAGAUUAAGAGUUUUGAAUUUAAUGAGUUUGGUGGAAGCUCAACGUUGGCUGCAACUCUUACUUGGGACAAUGAACUGUCCUGGACACUGGAGAAUACUACUGAAGAACUUUAAGAGACUAUGCUUUAGGUAAACCUAGAACAAAAUCUGCUUUUAAGUUAUUGAAUGGUCUUUACACUAAAGAGAAUUUUGUUGUGUCAGGUUUCUUCUGUUGUUAUGAGGUUACGUAUAGGGAGUCUCUAGGAUUAUAUGUUCUUAGCAAGAAUUAUGUUCCCACAAAAGGAUCGCAUUACACUGCUGUAAAGAAGGCUUUGGAGAUGAUUAAGCAAAAUAUUUCAUCUCUUAGUAAGGUAGUUUAGUGACCAGUGUCCGUCUCUAUUCUUGCACUGUUAUGAUUAGCUUAACUGAUGCUUUCUGUUAUUGUUUGACAGAGUGAAGGGCAUGAUGCUUAUCACUUCUCUCUGCAACUAACUGGUGCACCAGCUCUUAUCGGGAACACGAUAUGUAUAUAAGUAGUCUCUUGGUGAAUUAUGUUUGAUUCACAUAUCUUGAAGAAAUUUUGUUAAAGAUAUGUGCAUUUUGUUUGACAUACAUCUUUGUGCAAUCACCUGAGAGGAUUUUCCAAAGGAACCGGUUAGGCGUCCGCAGUGAAGCUUUGACUGCAACUAGGCCUCGAGCUGCUUCAACUGCGUGUGAUAUCGAGAUAUAGCGUUACUUACUAACCAGGUGAGUUUUUAAUUCUACUGUUUUAAAAAAUCACAUAAUCCCAAGCCCUUUUUUCAUUGAAAUUUCCGGAUAUGCAUACUGAUUUGGUUUACCAAAUUGCUGCAGCCCUAAAGAUGACUUGAGUUUCCAGAUAUUCCUAUUGCUCUGCAUCUUUUAAACCUUUUGUCUAUAGUUAGUUUGAAUUUUGACUCUUUAACAAGUGUACUGACACAUGUUGUAUUAUCAUAUUUCUUCCUUUCAGUCUAUAUGUGAGAAAAAACUGUGAAGAAGCUUGCAAGAUUGCAGCACCUAUAUUCUCAAUUGGCGGAGAAGCUGAGGAGAGAAGAUGACAAGGUGAGAUAAUAGUAUUUGAAUAAUUUUACAUAGCAUGAUCAUCUAGAUAGCUUGAAGUUAAGGGUUGUGAAUGUUAUCUCCAGGUUUUUCUUUUCUUCACAGUUGGUUUGACUCCUUUGUGUUUUUAUCUACAGUUUAACGUCAUCUUGGCUGCUUUGCAUCCAACUCCAGCUGUUUGUGUGCUUCCAGCAGAAGAAGCCAGACUUUUGAUCAAGGAAAUUGGUGAAAUAUUAGCUGUUUGUAACAUAUUUUUAUAAAUGCACUUCUCUACAACCAGAGCCAAACCGGUCAGAUUGUAAGCUUGCCUUAUCUCUGGGAAGAGGAGCUCAUGUCCUAAACUAAAGAAUCUUUCAUUAGGUUGCAGUAUCUGUAUCUUUUUUUUUCCAUCAUAUCCACCAUCAACUAACUUGAGUAUAGAUGUUCCGAAACAAUAACAAUGAGGAAAAAUAAGGGCUUUAUGAUUACCGAUCCUGUGAAGAUUGAAAAAAUAGUUAUGAAUGUGGUCUCCCCGAAUCCCCAAAGCAGCUUGAGCAGUAACGAAGUGGGAAAACAAAGCCUCAAGGCUUUUGCUGGUCAGGUAUUGUAGAUAGGACGAGUCCUUUGAUUAAUACAUUGCAACACGUUGAUGGUACCAAAAUAAUUAUUACUUAAUAUAGCAUUCACAAGAAUGAUUUUUCUGGUUUAAUCGUAGUUCUUUUUCAAGUACCCGUCAAUUACAUCUCCAUGCUGCAUAACGUACAAGGAACAAAUAAGUUAUAGUGUGUGGUUAUCUAACCUAAAUUAAAAAGAAUAAUACAAGUACAUUCUUUCACAACUUUUCGUGGCAUUUCAACAAAGAAAAUUCCAGUAAUAGCCGAGUUAACAUGAUAGAAAUAUAACAAGCAGCAUAAGCUCACUUUUAAUUAAAUUUUUUUUAGUAACAUCUAUUUUGAAAAUUACAGUUGUUUUGUGGAUAACAUAAUUCAUUUCAUUUUCAAAUAUGAUAGCAAUACUAAAUUUGAACAAAAAAAAAUUUAAAAUUUCAAAAUAUGCAUACCUAUCUUAACCUUUUUUUUCUAUAACUGUGAAAACAAUUAUAUCGCAAUAAUCAAAGUUCUAAUUUAAAUAUACAGAGGAAAUACUAAUUGUGAUUAAGAAACAAACAUAAAUUACUGAGAAAUAGUUUAAGUUAACUCACGACAAAAAAAAGAAGUUUAAGUUAACUCAGUCGACGGUAAUAUUUUAAAAAUAUUCUAUUUGUUAUCAUAUUCAAAUUAGAAAAGACGUUUACAAAAAUGAAUAAAAUAUUUUCAUAGUGAACGCGGUCAUCUAUAUAGAGUUGGGUAUAAAAUCCGACACCAAAUCCGUUGAUUCAAAAUACUAGAACCUAAAUCAGGUUAGAUCUAUAAAAGUAUUGAACGGAUAUUAAGUUGGAAGAGAUUAGAUAACUGAUCUCGAUUAGAUAAUUCCCAAUAUGUAAAGGUAAUCCAAAUAUAUCUGAAAUUAUAUAAGGUGUCACCCUUGAAUAUAUUUAUUUCCUCAAUUUCAAAUAUUAUGUGUCUUUUUCUGAUAUAUUAAGUAUUUUGAUAAUUUAAAAUUAAAUUAAAUUUAUCAAAUCAAAUUGUUAGAAAAUAACAUGUCAUCUAUAUUAGAGCAGGGUAUAAAAUCCGGCACCAAAUCCGCUGAUUCAAAAUCUUAGAACCUAAAUCAGAUUGAGUCUGUAAAAGUACUGAACGGAUAUUAAGUUAGAAGAGAUUAGAUAAUUGAUCUCAAUUAGACAAUGCUCGAUAUCUAAAUGUAAUCCAAAUAUAUCCUAAAUUAUAUAAGAUGUUACCCUUGAAUUAGUUAUUUUGUCAAUUACAAAUAUUAUAUGUAACUAAAAUAGUGCAAGUUCAGUGAUUUCAAACAAAAAAUAUAAAUCUUUGAAUAUCUCCUAUGUUAGAAUAGUGAUGAAGUAUGUUCUCAUAUUUUGUACGUGUAAUACAUGGUUCAUUUCUAUCGCAACCAGAUGGACCUACUAUGAUUAAUAAUUUUUUUCAUGAUAAUCUAACAUAUAAAAUAAAAAAAUACUUGGAUAAUAACUUAUAUUUAAUUAUUCUUUAUUCAUUUCACAUUUGCUGAUUUUUCUAUAUGUAUUUUUAUAUGAUAAAAAUGAUAAAUUGUCUUUUUUAUUUAUUUCUAAAGAACUUAGCCCUGUUGAAUACAACGACUCUUUUUGAGAAAAAAGUCUUGAGGGAAUUAAAAAAGUACACACAAGUUUCUAUGUUUACAUAAGUCCAAGAAAAUAACAUUUCAUCUACAUUGCAAAAAACUAGAUUAAAUACAUUUCCAAUUGUCUAACUCGGGCGUAGCCCGGAAAAAGUUUCUAGUGAAAAUAAUGAAUCAUGUACAUCAUCUACCGUGGCAGAUCUAGAAACCUUUUUAGUUUGGGGCACAAUGUUAUAAAAAUAUUAUAAUAAUUUAAAUAUGUAAUUAAUACUAAAAUUUUACGUACAAUAUUAUAUAUUAAUCACGUAAUAACUAUAAUGUUACUUCAAAUUACUAUGCAAUAUUUUUUGUCCAAAAGAAAAUACUUAACUUAUCUUAGAAGAAACAGUAAUAAACUCUUGUAUAAAAAUUAUAGGAAGUUGUUUUAAAGAAAAUGUAAAAACAAAUGCAAAACUAAUUUAAUUCACGAACAAAACAGUUAUAAACUACAUAAAAAGUUAUUUCAUUAAUAAUUGGGUCCGCAAAUAAAUAAAUGAGAGAAAGCUAAUUAAAAAGAAAGAGAAAUGUUCAAGUUGGGCGAGAUCGAACCUUCACGCUGCGUUUGUGGUGAACAUACAAUUCGCCACUGAACUAACCCGACUUGUACGUUAACACAUCCGAUUUUAUUUAAUUACUCGGGGUCACGUGACCCCGUACUGGCCAACGUACGUCCGCCCCUGAUCAUCUGUAAAAAAAAAUGUACAUCAUUUGUAAUUGUAAUUGAUAUGUGUUGUAAAAUCACCUUUUAAUUCAUACUCUCGCAUCACUCACUAACCGAUAUCAAACUUUGUUUUACUCAUUUUUUCUGGAAUUGAAUCAAUAGUAUAUGAUAAGAAUAUUAGAGAAAGAAACUCAAAGAACACAAGUGAUUUGUCGUAUUCGGCCUUCGCUGUCAAAACGACAUUAGUUUACUUACAUUAGAAUUCCCAGAAUAUUCACUCACCAUAAAAAAAAAGUAUUUAUAAACUUUUCGCUUUACACUUUUAAGAAAAAAUACAAAGAUAAAGAAAAUUCACGCUACUACUCAACUCGAAGUAAUAUGCUUAUAUAUCAUUCCCAACAAGUUUUUGUUGAUCUCACAUCAACUAUAUUUAUGUUGU